UACGUAGGGUGCAAGCGUUGUCCGGAAUUAUUGGGCGUAAAGAGCUCGUAGGCGGCUUGUCGCGUCGGCUGUGAAAACCUGGGGCUCAACCCCGGGCCUGCAGCCGAUACGGGCAGACUAGAGUUCGGUAGGGGAGACUGGAAUUCCUGGUGUAGCGGUGAAAUGCGCAGAUAUCAGGAGGAACACCGAUGGCGAAGGCAGCUCGCUGGGACGGUACUGACGCUGAGGCGCGAAAGCGUGGGGAGCAAACAGG
rnacentral:rRNA from 1 species